GGCACAGUUCCUCUUGGCUUCCCCUGGCUAGGGGAGGGAGUUCCCCAAUCCCUGGCACUUCCCUGGUGAAACAAUGCCCCACCCUGCCUUGGCUUGCCCUCUAUGGGCUGCACCCCCUGUCUAACCAGUCCCGAUGAGAUGAGCCAGAUACCUCAGCUGGAAAUGCAGAAAUCACCCACCUUCUGCGUUGAUCUCUGCGGGAGCUGUAGACUGGAGCUCUUCCUAUUCGGCCAUCUUGCCAGCCACCCGUACUGUACUUUGGAAGAAAGUCACUACAUAUAGCCAGCACUUUAAAAGAAUGGAGAAUUAUGGUCCCUAUCCUUAAGGCAAAUACAUUGGAGACUUCUCAACUUUCUGCUUCUGAUGAUCUCAACUUGUGGUAUGGCAAAAGGAGAGCAAAAUGUUCACCCAGAUGACAUCGUGAUCAACUCCUCUGAAUCACUCUAAAGGAACGAGAAGUCCUGGCAGCUGAGUCAUGAUCCCCCAGGAGCCAUUAAGAAGUUAAUCUUCAGUCACUUCCAUCCAAACAGAAGAAAACCCAUGAAGGAUGAGAACUAUGGGUCCUGAGAAUGACAGAAGCAGAUCAAGAAACUGGCGAUUGAAGAGUAACUGAAAGAAACGCAAUCUGAUCUUACUAGCAGUGAAAGAGCGAGUCUCCCUCUGAUGCCGAGCAGAAGCUAGACUGUACUGCUGCCAUCUCAGCUCACUGCAACCUCCCUGCCUGAUUCUCCUGCCUCAGCCUGCUGAGUGCCUGCAAUUGCAGGCGCGCCGCCACGCCUGACUGGUUUUCGUAUUUUUUUGGUGGAGACGGGGAUUCGCUGUGUUGGCCGGGCUGGUCUCCAGCUCCUAACCGCGAGUGAUCCACCAGCCUCGGCCUCCUGAGGUGCCGGGAUUGCAGACGGAGUCUGGUUCACUCAGUGCUCAAUGGCGCCCAGACUGGAGUGCAGUGGCGUGAUCUCAGCUCGCUACAACCUCCACCUCCCAGCCGCCUCCCUUGGCCUCCCAAAGUGCAGAGAUUGCAGCCUCUGCCCGGCCGCCACCCCGCCUGGGAAGUGAGGAGCGUCUCUGCCUGGCCGCCCAUUGUCUGGGAUGUGAGGAGCCCCUCUGCCUGGCUGCCCAGUCUGGAAAGUGAGGAGUGUCUCUGCCUGGCCGCCAUCCCAUCUAGGAAGUGAGGAGCGCCUCUUCCCGGCCGCCAUCCCAUCUAGGAAGUGAGGAGCCUCUCUGCCCAGCCGCCCAUCGUCUGAGAUGUGGGGAGCGCCUCUGCCCCGCCGCCCCGUCUGGGAUGUGAGGAGCGCCUCUACCCCGCCGCGACCCCGUCUGGGAGGUGAGGAGCGUCUCUGCCCGGCGGCCCCGUCUGGGAAGUGAGGAGACCCUCCGCCCGGCAGCCGCCCCAUCUGAGAAGUGAGGAGCCCCUCUGCCCAGCAGCCACCCUGUCUGGGAAGUGAGGAGCGUCUCUGCCCAGCAGCCACCCCGUCUGGGAGGGAGGUGGGGGGUCAGCCCCCCGCCCGGCCAGCCGCCCCGUCCGGGAGGUGAGGGGCGCCUCUGCCCGGCGGCCCCUACUGGGAAGUGAGGAGCCCCUCUGCCCGGCCAGCCGCCCCGUCUGGGAAGUGAGGAGCGUCUCCGCCCAGCAGCCACCCCGUCCGGGAGGGAGGUGGGGGGAUCAGCCCCCCGCCCGGCCAGCCGCCCAGUCCGGGAGGGAGGUGGGGGGGUCAGCCCCCCGCCCGGCCAGCCGCCCCGUCCGGGAGGUGAGGGGUGCCUCUGCCCGGCCGCCCCUACUGGGAAGUGAGGAGCCCCUCUGCCCGGCCAGCCGCCCGGUCCGGGAGGGAGGUGGGGGGGUCAGCCCCCUGCCUGGCAAGCCGCCCCGUCUGGGAGGGAGGUGGGGGGAUCAGCCCCCCGCCGGGCCAGCCACCCCGUCCGGGAGGUGAGGGGUGCCUCUGCCCGGCCGCCCCUACUGGGAAGUGAGGAGCCCCUCUGCCCGGCCAGCCGCCCCAUCCGGGAGUGAGGUGGGGGGGUCAGCCCCCUGCCCGGCCAGCCGCCCCGUCCGGGAGGUGAGGGGCGCCUCUGCCCGGCCGCCCCUACUGGGAAGUGAGGAGCCCCUCUGCCCGGCCACCACCCCGUCUGGGAGGUGUACCCAACAGCUCAUUGAGAACGGGCCAUGAUGACAAUGGCGGUUUUGUGGAAUAGAAAGCGGGGAAAGGUGGGGAAAAGAUUGAGAAAUCGGAUGGUUGCCGUGUCUGUGUAGAAAGAGGUAGACAUGGGAGACUUUUCAUUUUGUUCUGUACUAAGAAAAAUUCUUAUCCUGUUGAUCUGUGACCUUACCCCCAACCCCGUGCUCUCUGAAACAUGUGCUGUGUCCACUCAGGGCUAAAUGGAUUAAGGGCGGUGCAAGAUGUGCUUUGUUAAACAGAUGCUUGAAGGCAGCAUGCUCGUUGAGAGUCAUCACCACUCCCUAAUCUCAAGUAACCAGGGACACAAACACUGUGGAAGGCCGCAGGGUCCUCUGCCUAGGAAAACCAGAGACCUUUGUUCACUUGUUUAUCUGCUGACCUUCCCUCCACUAUUGUCCUAUGACCCUGCCAAAUCCCCCUCUGCGAGAAACACCCAAGAAUGAUCAAUAAAAAAAUAAAAUAAAAUAAAAUAAAAUAAAAUAAAUAAAGUUUCAUGCGCAUCCGUGUGAAGAGACCACCAAACAGGCUUUGUGUGAGCAGCAUGGCUGUUUAUUUCACCUGGGUGCAGGCGGGCUGAGUCCGAAAAGAGAGUCAGCCAAGGG
rnacentral:lncRNA from 1 species